AACGCGAAGAACCUUACCUGGGCUGAACUACGCGGGAAAAGCCGUAGAGAUACGGUGUCCGUAAGGGUCCGCGAUAGGUGGUGCAUGGCUGUCGUCAGCUCGUGUCGUGAGAUGUUGGGUUAAGUCCCGCAACGAGCGCAACCCUUGUCCUAUGUUGCCAGCGGGUAAUGCCGGGGACUCGUAGGAGACUGCCGGGGUCAACUCGGAGGAAGGUGGGGACGACGUCAAGUCAUCAUGCCCCUUAUGUCCAGGGCUGCACACAUGCUACAAUGGCCGGUACAAAGGGCUGCUAUUCCGCGAGGAUGAGCGAAUCCCAGAAAGCCGGUCUCAGUUCGGAUUGGAGUCUGCAACUCGACUCCAUGAAGUCGGAGUCGCUAGUAAUCCCGAAUCAGCAACGUCGGGGUGAAUACGUUCCCGGGCCUUGUACACACCGCUACAGU
rnacentral:rRNA from 1 species